rnacentral:rRNA from 1 species
UACGUAGGCAGCGAGCGUUGUUCGGAGUUACUGGGCGUAAAGAGUGCGUAGGCGGUUUUCUACGUUUGGUGUGAAAUCUCCCGGCUCAACUGGGAGGGUGCGCCGAAGACUGGAAGGCUUGAGUAUGGGAGAGGUAAGCGGAAUUCCUGGUGUAGCGGUGAAAUGCGUAGAUAUCAGGAGGAACACCUGCGGUGUAGACGGCUUACUGGACCAUAACUGACGCUGAGGCACGAAAGCGUGGGUAGCAAACAGG